AGUGGCGGACGGGUGGGUAACGCGUAUGAAUCUAGGUAGGAGUGGGGGACAACAGUUGGAAACGACUGCUAUUACCGGGUAAUCCCUGAGGGGGAAAGGAGGGGAUCUGUUUACAGAUCUCUAUUUGAGUAGCCUGCGUGAGAGUAGCUAGUUGGUGAGGUAAUGGCUCAUCAAGGCGACGAUCUCUAUCUGGUCUGAGAGGAUGAUGAGCCACUCUGGAACUGAGACACGGUCCAGACUCCUACGGGAGGCAGCAGUGGGGAAUAUUGCACAAUGGGGGAAACCCUGAUGCAGCCAUGCCGCGUGUGUGAAGAAGGCCUUCGGGUUGUAAAGCACUUUCAGCGAGGAGGAAAGGAGUAGGUUUAAUAAACCUGCUCUGUGACGUUACUCGCAGAAGAAGCACCGGCUAACUCCGUGCCAGCAGCCGCGGUAAUACGGAGGGUGCAAGCGUUAAUCGGAAUUACUGGGCGUAGAGCGCGCGUAGGUGGCUUGUUAAGUGGAAUGUGAAAGCCCUGGGCUCAACCUAGGAAUUGCAUCCCAAACUGGCAGACUAGAGUACAAGAGAGGGGUGUGGAAUUUCCUGUGUAGCGGUGAAAUGCGUAGAUAUAGGAAGGGACAUCAGUGGCGAAGGCGACGCCCUGCUUGAUACUGACACUGAGGUGCGAAGCGUGAGGAGCAAACAGGAUUAAAUACCCUGG
rnacentral:rRNA from 1 species